rnacentral:rRNA from 1 species
CUUUAUUGGAGAGUUUGAUCCUGGCUCAGGAUGAACGCUGGCGGCGUGCCUAAUACAUGCAAGUCGAGCGAAUGGAUUGAGAGCUUGCUCUCAAGAAGUUAGCGGCGGACGGGUGAGUAACACGUGGGUAACCUGCCCAUAAGACUGGGAUAACUCCGGGAAACCGGGGCUAAUACCGGAUAACAUUUUGAACCGCAUGGUUCGAAAUUGAAAGGCGGCUUCGGCUGUCACUUAUGGAUGGACCCGCGUC